AUGAUGUCUACUGGUCGACAGAGAGAUCGUUCAGAAAAGACGUGAUUAACCUGGGUUGCAUGCUCUUCGUGAAAUGAUGGAUUUGUUUGCACACGGCCAAUUUAUAAAUGUCAUAACAGACGAGGAUAUGGCAUUCAGGAUGAAGCAAAACGUGGGAAACCUGGCCAUUAAACCCGAGACUUUGAGGAAUCAACAGUUGUUAUGACACCAAGAAGACAAUACAACAAGGAUGAUCUUCGAGCUCUUCCAAAUUGAAAGAAGAACAAAGAGCUGAGCAGACGCCAGAAACUAUGGAUUAUCUGUAUGUAUGAUGUAAAGACAACUGAAAAUGCCCUAACUGCACAGAAGUUCAUCAUUUAAAGAAAACAUUCCAUGACUUCACAGGUU